GCCGAAGAUGCUGCAGCCUCUGCCUUGGCUUUUCUCGUGGCUGCCGAGACUCCGAAUCUGAACCUGGAUAUGGAACGUCGAUGAUUUAGGGAGCGAAUACCCUUUAGGGUUAGUCAGGAUUCCCUCCGAUUCAAAGGCUGAGUCUGCUGGGACUGUUUGGGGAACCCUCUGAGGUCGGCGGAGAUGCGGAGUAACUGGACUAAACUUUAAAAGCAUCCCUUCCCAAUAAAAACAGAUCUCUGAGCUGA